UGAGAGGCUCCCUUAGGAGCCACCACUCUUAAGGAUAACAAAUAUGU
rfam:Oryza sativa Japonica Group DNA, chromosome 1, cultivar: Nipponbare, complete sequence.